GUCGGCCCAGGGUGUCACUGCUUCUCCACCUAAUGCAGGUCCCAGGGUCAGGGCACUGGGGGCUACUUUGGGAAUCGAGGGUGCUGGUUGUGACUUCAAUAGUCAGCAGAAGGGACCUGCUAUGCUGAGAUGCUCAGGGACCUGGGAUCGUGCUCCUGCCCUCUGGGGACAAGCCUGCCUGGCGUCUGAACCUGAGCGCCCACGAGUGAGCAGGCGGGCAGGGAGCAGGGAGCGGGGAAGGAGGCCGUUACCAAUCCGCACAGCCUGACGGCAGGCGUCAAUAACGCUCCUGUCACUUCUGCUUGGGGCUGUGAGGAGGGAGAAAUUGAUCUCAGGAGCAGACACCUUGCUCAGGGCAGGAGCGAGGUGUCUUCUCUGGCAGGAAGCAAAUGGGGUUUGUAUUGAAUUUGGCCUGAAGACACCCCACGCGGUGGUCUCUAGAUCGAGGCGCCCGCAGCUGGCCGGGAGGAGUGCGAGGGAGCCCUCCUGGGCAGGACUGCGCCGCAGCCCUACGUGGACGCACCAGGUAGAGUCAGACUGGAGGAGGGCUACUGUGGCAAUUGGCCACCAGGUCACCACUCACAGGUAUGCCCCACCCCUUCCCAGUGCCCUGUGGAUGUCCUUCAGAUCAGCACUGGACAAACCCCCUCUAGAUUCAAAGAACUGCCGUGCCACUGGUCCGUGGUCCAAGGCUAGUGGGGUCUGAGUGGAGUGGACAGUGCCUGGCUUGGGGCCAAGCUCUGCCCUUGGCAAGAGCCCCCAUGGCACCCUGCUCUGGGCCACAUAGGCACCAAAGGGAGCAGCUGAGCUGGUGAC
rnacentral:lncRNA from 1 species